CAUUAAUAAGGGUGUUAUUGUAAGAUGAUGUGAUUUAGGACUUAAUAGUAAUGUUAAAUGAGUUUGUUGAUGUGAAGAGAGUUUAGCUCAGGUACACACCGCCCGUCACCC
rnacentral:rRNA from 1 species